rnacentral:rRNA from 1 species
UAGGGAAUAUUGGUAAUGGGCGAAAGCCUGAACUAGCAACACCGCGUGUGCGAAGAAGGCCUUCGGGUUGUAAAGCACUUUUUGAGAGGAUGAGGAAGGACGGUACUCUCAGAAUAAGUCUCGGCUAACUACGUGCCAGCAGCCGCGGUAACACGUAGGAGGCAAACGUUAUCCGGAUUUACUGGGCGUAAAGCGCGUGUAGGUGGUUUGGUAAGUAGAGCGUGAAAGCUCCUGGCUCAACUGGGAGAGGUCGUUCUAAACUGCCGGACUAGAGGAUGGUAGAGGGAGGUGGAAUUCCGAGUGUAGUGGUGGAAUGCGCAGAUAUCCGGAGGAACACCAGUGGCGAAAGCGGCCUCCUGGACCAUUCCUGACACUCAGACGCGAAAGCUAGGGUAGCAAACG